rnacentral:rRNA from 1 species
UACAGAGGUCUCAAGCGUUGUUCGGAUUCAUUGGGCGUAAAGGGUGCGUAGGCGGCGCGGUAAGUCGGAUGUGAAAUCUCGGAGCUCAACUCCGAAACUGCAUUGGAAACUACCUGGCUAGAGGUUUGGAGGGGGGACUGGAAUGCUUGGUGUAGCAGUGAAAUGCGUAGAUAUCAAGCGGAACACCAGUGGCGAAGGCGAGUCCCUGGACAACACCUGACACUGAGGCACGAAAGCUAGGGGAGCAAACAGG